CAGCCGCCGCGGUAAUACGUAGGGCGCAAGCGUUGUCCGGAAUUAUUGGGCGUAAAGAGCUCGUAGGCGGUCUGUCGCGUCUGGUGUGAAAUCCCGAGGCUCAACCUCGGGCUUGCAUCGGGUACGGGCAGACUAGAGUGCGGUAGGGGAGACUGGAAUUCCUGGUGUAGCGGUGGAAUGCGCAGAUAUCAGGAGGAACACCGAUGGCGAAGGCAGGUCUCUGGGCCGCAACUGACGCUGAGGAGCGAAAGCAUGGGGAGCGAACAGGAUUAGAUACCCCCGUAGUCCCUGUCUCUUAUAC
rnacentral:rRNA from 1 species